GCGUUGUCUCCAAGCCCGGCGCCUAGAAGACAGUGGACAGCGACUGGGUCGUGGAUCUAAUCCAGGAUUCCCCGUGGCAUUUAGUUGUCUACUGAACCUCCAGCCCAGAAUGACUACAGACCACAGGAAAAAGCUACUUAAAUUUUGACUGGGUAAUACCCCACAUGGUUCCAAGUUCAGAAGGUGCAAAAGAAAACAAGUGUCUUCUCCCAGGUCCCCUCUCUCGCGCCAUGUGGCCAUAGCUUUGGGACUUCUGAACGCCC